CUAGCGUUGCUCGGAAUCACUGGGCGUAAAGCGCACGUAGGCGGAUUUCUAAGUCAGGGGUGAAAUCCUGGAGCUCAACUCCAGAACUGCCUUUGAUACUGGCGAUCUCGAGUCCGGGAGAGGUGAGUGGAACUGCGAGUGUAGAGGUGAAAUUCGUAGAUAUUCGCAAGAACACCAGUGGCGAAGGCGGCUCACUGGCCCGGUACUGACGCUGAGGUGCGAAAGCGUGGGGAGCAAACAGG
rnacentral:rRNA from 1 species